rnacentral:rRNA from 1 species
CCUACGGGAGGCAGCAGUGGGGAAUAUUGGGCAAUGGGCGCAAGCCUGACCCAGCAACGCCGCGUGAAGGAAGAAGGCUUUCGGGUUGUAAACUUCUUUUCUCAGGGACGAAGAAAGUGACGGUACCUGAGGAAUAAGCCACGGCUAACUACGUGCCAGCAGCCGCGGUAAUACGUAGGUGGCAAGCGUUAUCCGGAUUUACGGGGUGUAAAGGGCGUGUAGGCGGGGAAGCAAGUCAGAUGUGAAAACCAGGGGCUCAACCUGUGGCCUGCAUUUGAAACUGUUUUUCUUGAGUACUGGGGAGGCAGACGGAAUGCCUGGUGUAGCGGUGAAAUGCGUAGAUAUUAGGAGGAACACCGGUGGCGAGGGCGGUCUGCUGGACAGCAACGGACGCUGAGGCGCGAAAGCGUGGGGAGAAAACAGGAUUAGAUACCCGAGUAGUC